rnacentral:rRNA from 1 species
GCGAGUGAGCGGGAAAGCUCAAAUUUAAAAUCUGGUGGUCUUUGGCCAUCCGAGUUGUAAUCUAGAGAAGUGUUACCCGCGUUGGACCGUGUACAAGUCUCCUGGAAUGGAGCGUCAUAGAGGGUGAGAAUCCCGUCUUUGACACGGACUACCAAGGCUUUGUGGUGCGCUCUCAACGAGUCGAGUUGUUUGGGAAUGCAGCUCAAAAUGGGUGGUAAAUUCCAUCUAAAGCUAAAUAUAGGCGAGAGACCGAUAGCGAACAAGUACCGUGAGGGAAAGAUGAAAAGAACUUUGGAAAGAGAGUUAAACAGUACGUGAAAUUGCUGAAAGGGAAACGCUGGAAGUCAGUCGCGUUGGCUAGGAAUCAACCUUACUCUUUUGUAGGGCUUACUUUCUAGUUGACGGGCCAACAUCAAUUUUGAUUGCUGGAAAAGGGCCUAGGGAAUGUGGCACCUUCGGGUGUGUUAUAGCCUUGGGUCGUAUACAGUGGUUGGGAUUGAGGAACGCAGCACGCCGAAAGGUUGGGUCUUUGACCACACUCGUGCUUCGGAUGUUGGCAUAAUGGCUUUC